GACGAACGCUGGCGGCGUGCUUAACACAUGCAAGUCGAACGGAAAGGCCCCGCUUUUGUGGGGUGCUCGAGUGGCGAACGGGUGAGUAACACGUGAGUAACCUGCCCUUGACUUUGGGAUAACUUCAGGAAACUGGGGCUAAUACCGGAUAGGAGCUCCUGCUGCAUGGUGGGGGUUGGAAAGUUUCGGCGGUUGGGGAUGGACUAGCGGCUUAUCAGCUUGUUGGUGGGGUAGUGGCUUACCAAGGCUUUGACGGGUAGCCGGCCUGAGAGGGUGACCGGCCACAUUGGGACUGAGAUACGGCCCAGACUCCUACGGGAGGCAGCAGUGGGGAAUAUUGCACAAUGGGCGGAAGCCUGAUGCAGCAACGCCGCGUGCGGGAUGACGGCCUUCGGGUUGUAAACCGCUUUCGCCUGUGACGAAGCGUGAGUGACGGUAAUGGGUAAAGAAGCACCGGCUAACUACGUG
rnacentral:rRNA from 1 species